AAGUAUCGUUAUUUGGUGGUCAUUUCUUACUGGAUACCGUGGUAAUUCUAGAGCUAAUACAUGCGCCCAGACCCAACUUCGUGGAAGGGUUGUGUUUAUUAAAUACAGAACCAACCCAGGCCCCGCCUGGUCCUUUGGUGAUUCAUAAUAACCGAACGAAUCGCAUAGCAUUUGCUGGCGAUGAAUCAUUCUUGUUUCUGACCUAUCUUCUUUCGACGGUAGGGUAUUGGCCUACCGUGUCAAUGACGGGUAACGGAUAAUUAUGGUUCUAUUCCGGAGAGGGAGCCUGAAAAACGGCUACCUCUUCUGAGGAAGGCAGCUGGCGCGCUUAUUACCCCCUCCUGACGGGGGGAGGUAGUGACAAGAAAUAACAAUACGGGGCCUCCCCGUCUUGUGGUUGGAAAGAGAAUAAUUUUAACCCCUUUAUGAGUAUCUGGUGGGGGGGGCCGUGCUAGUAUA
rnacentral:rRNA from 1 species